GUGUGUGUGUGUGUGUGUGUGUGUGUGUGUGUGCGUGUGUGUGUGUGUAGACAUUUGCAUAUGUGUGGCAGAGAAAGCAGGAGAGAUCCAGUCAGAGAAAAAGAGGAAGAAAGGAGAAUGAGGCUCCAGUUAACUGUCUCAAGGGGACGAUGGUUUUAAUGUUCCCUCAGGGUUCCCCAGUGACUGACUAAUUGGAACAAUAAUGAAGAGUGAGGGAAGAGGAAACAAGCACAUCGCAACUCUAAUCGAUCUGUCUUUCCACGGAACAAAAAAAAGUGAAAAGGAAAUUACUGCAAACAUCGGCAGGGCUUGGACACGAAUUUCAAUUGCCAUCGGCUCUGAUUUGCAACCAGAUGAGGUUAGGUCCAGAGUUUGCAGAUGCAGCCGAGCCUCAUACCUCCCAAGUGAGGAACUCCUCACUAUCUCCCUCUGCCUGCUCAAGCAAGGGUGUCUUCUAAGGGUCAGUGUGGUGUCUCAGGUUCUAUGGGGACCAUUGUACUGCGUAGUCUAGAAAGGCAUGGAUAGUGUGAAAUGUGUGACCUGGUUGAGGAUGCAGUUGUGCAGGCAGCAAAGAGAGUUCUUCAUCCCAAGCAAGAAUUCCUCCAGGGGAUACAGAUUUUCUGAACCAGUCAGUUCCAUUCAUCGAGCCUUCAGAGGCCUCAUCCCCACAUCACCAGGGUCCCCACACUGCUGGUCCAUUAGCCAGUGGGAAUAUUUGAGGUCCUCUAGACAAGGAAUGAAACUUGAUUUGACACCUCCUCUUCCUCCCCCUUUGGUAUCUAUGCGUCUGCCAUCUGCAUGACUUGUGUCCCCUACCAAUGUCAGCCCACCAUAGUGAUCCUGUACAUCUUGUCUGCAUUUUAUGUUAUGUCCAUUUGUUAACUUUUUCCUAAGUGUCUCACUUGCAACCUCUUCCCUUACUUCUUCCCAACUUCCCUGUUAUGUAAAGGGAGAGUCUAUCCCUGCCAAAAAUAUAUUUCUCCAUCUCUCCCACCUCCUCUAGCACUACUCUUUUGAUUUCUUCCUUUUGUGUGCACCUUGUCUUCUCUCUCCCUCAUUUCUACCUGUCCUAUCUUUCACUUUUCAACUUAUAACGAUCUAAUCAAGAUGUUUACAUAAUGACAACCAUACAUAUAGUAGAUAACACCUUGAAUCUUUUUAAAGUUCACUAAUACAAAGCUCUGCUGAACUCCUCUUUCUUUAAAUGAGCACCAGUUAUAUAUGAGGGCUUGCACAAGCCUUCACUCACCUCUUAAUUCUUAAAAUAGCUGAAAGUAAUUGUAACUUUAUAUUUAAGAAAUUACAUUUGCAUAUAUCUACACUAGUUUUAAUCCAUUUUAUGAGCUUAAAAACAGCCCCAAAGCUUAUGGGCAUGUCUGUGCAGCCCUUAACUUUCACAAAAUCAGUGUCAUUAACUGGCACUGUAUUUUGAGGUAACAUGUAUCUAUUCUUCCUCAAAUUUCCUUAGACAAAAGUAGUUUACUUGGUCUGACUUAGGGUUUUAUUCAGGCAUCUGAGCCUUCUUAAUUUCUUGCUUUCUGGUAAAAGGAAGAAGGACAUCACCUUUCCUCAAAAGAUUCAAGAUUCUGCAUCUGGACAGGAAGAUGAAAUUUUCGCCUCAGUUUUCCGAUUCGGACUCAGAGGAAAGCUCAGUUUUUAAUUCUCCCUUUGGGGUUCCUUUCUCUCUGAUACUCUUUCCAGAAUGUGUCAGUAUUUUCAGAUGGAGUAUACUGAGGUUUCUCAGUCUCUCAGAAAAUGUUAUGAACCAUUACAGAAAGAAUUUCCUGUACCUUCUCUGUGUUCAUCCAGUCUUGUCAGCUUUGGAGGAUGUGAGUGCUUCUGUUUCUAUUUUUCCUGAUGGCCAGCCCUGCUGCCCCUAAAAGGGCAGAUAGAAUGCAUGAAGUUCCUCAGUAUUUUUAAGUUUUUAAACAGUCUUCCCAAACCUGGCUCAGCAACUAUAGCUUUAUUUACACCCACUGCUGCUAAAUAGUUAGUAAACUCCUUUCUUACUCUUUCUAAUAAGGAUAGGGAGAUUAUGGAUAUGAGAAAAAUAGUGUAUGCUUCUGCAACUUUGAUUUUCGAAGUUUUGAAUUAUCAGGCUAACAUGUUAAUGUUCAUUCUGAGUAAUUGUCAAUGUAUGAGAAAUGUUUUGUUUGCAAUUUUUUCUUGUUAGGAAGCAUCCGCAUAGUGGUGCAGCAGUUACCAUUGUCGCCUCACAGUAAGAGGUUCUCUGGUUCGAUUCUCAGCUGGGGUGCC